rnacentral:rRNA from 1 species
GAUGAACGCUGGCGGCGUGCUUAACACAUGCAAGUCGAACGGAAAGGCCCAAGCUUGCUUGGGUACUCGAGUGGCGAACGGGUGAGUAACACGUGGGUGAUCUGCCCCGCACUUCGGGAUAAGCCUGGGAAACUGGGUCUAAUACCGGAUAGGACAGUGGUUUGGAUGCCAUUGUGGAAAGUUUUUUCGGUGUGGGAUGAGCUCGCGGCCUAUCAGCUUGUUGGUGGGGUAAUGGCCUACCAAGGCGUCGACGGGUAGCCGGCCUGAGAGGGUGUACGGCCACAUUGGGACUGAGAUACGGCCCAGACUCCUACGGGAGGCAGCAGCGGGGAAUAUUGCACAAUGGGCGCAAGCCUGAUGCAGCGACGCCGCGUGGGGGAUGACGGCCUUCGGGUUGGAAACUCCUUUCGCUAGGGACGAAGCGUUAUGUGACGGUAGCUAGAGAAGAAGCACCGGCUAACUACGUG